GGCUUUCCUAAUUGAACUGACAUCGGUUAGUAAGGCGUCAGCUGCUGAACUUGGCAAGCCAGCAGCCUGGUCUAUCCAAGGUGGUCAAGGCAUGAGCUGUUCCAAUUCCAGCUACAAGACUGGAGAAUACUCUUUCAGCUGGGCCCCAGAUAUGUACUCUUGAAUUGCAAUUCUUAUUGUAUCGUUGCACGAAUCUUUUUUGCCUCUUUUGAAUGUGUGUGCUUAUGGGUAAUUUGUGAGGGUUAAAUGAUGUUAAUUUUCCAAAUGUGCACGGUCCUCCUUUCGCUCUAGUGGGAAUACCUUUCCAGAAUCACAGCCCACAGAUUAAGAAAAUACCAUUGGGCAAGCCAAGAGGUGUCGCCCCUGAUUUUAAUACUGUAGAAUUGGGUGAUUUACACCAAAAACGAGCCUUUUGGUAUGUUCCAGAAGGAGAUACGCCAAUUGCCAAAUAAUGAUUUGAAUUUGAAUCUGAGGGAUCAAAUUGAAAACAGAAAGGUGCAGUCAGACUGCCCAUGACAUUAAUUUCUUGGGGUUCUAUUGGAAUUCAAGGAAAAUUAUUUUCAAGGUUUUGGUUAUUGGCACAUUGUGCCUUGUGAAGGUUAGAGAAUUGUGGCAAGUACUGGUGUAGAAAGGUAAUCCACUGGGUGCAAUUGAAAGGAAGGCCUGCUAAACAGGUACGGAACGGAUCAGUUGGGGCAGCCACAGACAAACACAAUGUGUCAGUCCCGGUUGCAUUGGCGAGUGUCACCCCGACGUUCUGGGUGGCAAAGGUGGUCCAGUCAGGAGGCAUGGCUGUUGUUAUGAAGAUGAUGCAAGGUAGGGUUGCACGAAACGUGAAGGUAUCCAUCGCGGUGCUCGAUCUGUGGAGACACAAGCAUAACCUUUUCCCCAGGUUAUUAAGGGACAAGGACCUUGCCAUUCUCUAGUAACUGGAUCUCUGAACAUUACUUCUGCCUUCCUCUCUGUGGAAACAUGUGCUGGGACAAAGUGACGCUGUGCUGCAGAGAGAUCUCCUACUAUUCUAUUUAGAAAGUUAAGCACAUAUAAAGCCUUAUUUAAACACUCCUGGGGAGUUAAACCUGAACUUCCUCUUUUCUGUUUCUGCAACGUCUUUGAGUGUGCAGUGUGCACACUCAAUUACAGCCUGACCUGUGGGGGUGUGUGGAAUACUUGUUAGAUGUUGUAUUCCCCAUUGUUCAAAAAAUUCUUUUGUGCGUUUGGACAUAUAAGAAGGUCCAGUGUCUGUUUUAAUUUGCUUAGGUACUCCCAUGUGUGCAAAGGCUGUAAGGAGGUGACAUUGUACAUCCCAGCUUUUCUCCCCAGAAUGAGCUGUAGCUACUAGAAAUCCUGAAAACGUGUCAAUGGAGACAUGUACAUAUUUCAGUUUGCCAAAAGAGGAUAUGUGUGUUACAUCUGCUUGCCACAGCUGCAGGGGUUACAGUCCUCAAGGGUUGGUUCCUUCAGGAGCAAUGGGAGUGAUUAGCUGACAGUCUGGACAGGAUGCUAUGAUAGAAUGAGCUUGCUCUGAUGUGAGAUCAAAUUAUCUUUUUAAUGCCCUUGCAUUUUGAUGAAAAAAUUGAUGUGACAAUUCGGCUUGCUCAAAUCACUGAGGUACUAUUACUGCUCCUGCAAGUGCAUCUGCACGUCGAUUACCUCUGAAAUUGGACCAGGAGGCAAGGUAUGAGGAUGCACGUGCAUGAUGAAAAAUGCAAAUUGCCUCUUUUCAACUAGAAACAGUAAUUUUUUGAAUAGGGCAAACAGUGCCGCAUGAUUGACUUCUUUCAGAUAGGAGUGUUCAAUUUGUUGAACCACUCCCACAACAUACUGAGAAUCAGAAACUAUGUUUAAAGGUCCUGGAAAGAGUGUAAGUGUGCAGAUUACUGCUGAUAAUUCUACAAGCUGUGGUGACCCAUCCACAUGAUGUAUAUCCUGUUGCCAGUCAUUAUCUUUCUGCCACACUACGACUCCAUUUCCCGUUUUUCCUGAACCGCCAGUAAAGACAGUUUGUGCAUCUGUUAAAGGAAUAGGGGAGCAGUGUGUUCUCAGCUUCAAAGGAAAGUUGUUUAAACACUGUAAAAUAGAACAAGCAGGUAGGUGAAUACUUAGCUGACCUGUAAAAUCACUUAAGGCAGUUUGAAAUUCAAAACUAGCCUUCUCUAGCCAUUGUAAAUGCUCUGUUGUCAUUGGCAAAUACACAGUACGUGGGUCACACCCUGCAAGUUCCCAGCACCUAAUGCAGCCUCUCUGAAAUAUGCGUGAUAUCAUUUCUGGCUGAGUCGUUACUGUUUUAGAAAACUGAUGAGCUGGAAAAACCCAUUCCCAUAAACAAAACUGAGUAUUGUUCUUGUACAACUGGCCCAAGAGGCCAAAAGGUUGAGCAAGUCCCUUCAAGGUAACUGAUAUCACUGUGUUGCCUGUGUAUUUUGGUGCUGAAAAAAAUCUCCGGAGCAGUUAGUUAGGGGUGAGAUAAGAAAGGGUUUAUUUGCCAAGGCAGUCGGUGAUAUAGACGCGCGUGCAGGCCGUGCCUGAGAGGUUACAUUUUAUAACAUUAUCCAUCCAAUCCCAGAUGUGUCCACCCUUUGGCCCUUCCUCUGGUCCGCCCCGGGUCCUCCCCCUGAGAAAUGGGUCUGGGGUGUAUUUUGGGACCCCCCUUUCAUCAUCCUCAUCAUCCUCAGAGCACAAAGGGUACAUUGUUACCUAAUUUUUGACCGUAUUCUGUGGUUUAGGCCCUGAUACGCUGUUCUCCAAACAGUCUAGGCCUUUGCCUUGACAGAAGACUAAACACUCUGCUGUAUUCAAGAGCACAGAUCCCCAGCCCAGUCUGGGACACAGAACCUGUGAAAUGGCAGAAGGAUUGUGGUGUGAAUGCAGCGCCCUCAGAGCCCUUGGUGUGAGCCCGGAAAGGAAAAUCAAGGGAGAUGGUUAAAGCCUUGUUGUUCAGUGUGGAGCACAGGAGAACUUUGUUCUCAUCAUCUCCCCAAUAAAGAGGAGGACUCAGAUCUUCUGGUUGGCCCCACGGGCAGGUUGAGUGGGGGAACAGAAAAUCAAGAUGCAGAAACCAAUCUUGCAGGGGAACUGGCAUGUGAAGAGGCAGAUUUAGCAUGUCCAGAAGAAAAGGAGAGAGAAUGUGUCAGAGAGAGAGCAGAGAGCUUCAGAAAUCCCUGAGGAAAUGGUGCCCCCGGGGAGAGGAAGAGGAUGAGAGCAUGGGCAGCCUGCUUCAAACAUCCCCCCCAGGAGACUUGGGAUCAAUCCCUGUGCAUCCUGUAAGAAAGAUGGACACUGGAAAUGGGAUUAUCCACAACUGAAACUUCAGAACCCUCCCAACCCUCUUCUGGCAUCACUGAAGACGACUGAGGGGGCACCAGAGGAUUCUUCCCCAUCAGAACAUCUGGUUCCAGCCAAGCUAAGUACAAUUGGUUGUGGCUGUGGGAACUUGUUCCCCUGUCUUAAAUAAGGGAAAAUGAAACUCAAGUCACAAUUCUGGAACAACUGUCUGGUGUGACAGGGAAUUGGGAAACUGGGCCAUUUUUAAUGCUGUGGAUUUAAAACUGGGAAAACAGUGGUUGGCUCCCCAGUAUUUCCCCAAUUCCCCAAAGCCUCUGCCUGGGAGAGAUCUCUUGGAAAAAUUAAAUGCCACAAUCCAAUUUAAAAAUGAUAAAAUAUAAGUUAUUAUUGCGGAGCCUAAUUCUGUGGAAGAUUCUAGUUUUGCAUGAGAGUCUCCAAAAGCAGAACUAAUCCAUCUGCCAACGUCACUUGGGGAUGCAGUGAUUCCAGUAGGAUGGGCUGGAGAGGUGCCUCCAUGAUCCAAAAGAGCAGAACUGUGAGAAUUCCAGUGAAACCUGGAGCAGGGCUGGUCAGGCCAAAGCAAUAGCCUUUGAAAAUGGAAAGUUGUGAGGGAUUCUCACCCUUUGUAGAAAAACUGAUGAAAUUUUGCUUGUUAAAAGAAUGUGAAUCUAAAUGUAAUGCUCCAAUUUUGCCAGUCAAGGGGGCAAAUGGAAGGCUAUCCCAGUUAGUCCAAGACCUCAGAGCUAUAAAUAAUCGAGUGGAAGAUAUACAAGCAGUCAUAGCAAAUCCUUACACUUUGCUAACUCCCCUAAAUGAAAGUUUAGUGUGUUUCACAGUAUUAGAUUUGAAAGAUGCCUUUUUCUGUCUCCCUUUGAGUUGUGAAAGUCAAGAGCUUUUUGCUUUCAACUGGGAAAAUCCAAAAACAGGGAGGAAAACCCAGCUGACUUUGGUGGUCCUCUUGCAGGGGUUUAAAAAUAUCCCCCCAGUAUUUGGAACUCAAUUGGCAAAGGAACUGGAGGAAUGGAGAAGUCAAAACCCUCUUGGAGCCUUGUUCCAGUGUGUGGAUAUUUUGAUAGCCACUGAUGCUGAGCAGCAAUGUUGGGAUCAGACACUGUGGAAUUUCCUUGGACUGGGUGGAUACGGGGUGUCCCAAACACAAAGUGCAAGUAGUCCAGACCCCAGGAGCCUCCCUGGGCUUUGGAAUUCUCCAAGGACAAGGGAGGCUGGGCCAGGAACAAAAGAAGCAACCUGUCAACUGCCCCAGCCCCAGCAAAGGAAGCCCAGAGAGUGAUUGCUUCCAGACUAGAGGAGAAGUGUAUUCGGGCAGAGCUGACUCAGGAGACAGCCCCUGGGAAAGUCCUGGUUGGGAAUUGUUUCCCAGUGGGGGCAGCUUUGUCCAGCGUGGAAAACAAUUCUCUGGAUGCACAGGAACUCCCCCCAGCAGGUCAUGGAAUUGGGGGCACUCCUCUGCAGUGCCUCAGCCCAGAAAGCAGAACCAAUUGUGCUCACUCCAGCUUUGGGAUUGAGUCAAGGAGAACAAGUUAAUCCUUGGACUUGCUUGAAGAUCUCCAGAAACCAACAGAGGCUGCUGUCCUGCAUUGCAGAGUGCACCAAGAGGGGAAGACCAAAGCAGAACUGGGGAAUCAUUUGUCCCAUAAUUCUGCCAAAGAGGCUGCAGAAAAAGGCACUUUAGAGAGUAAAGUUUUGUCUUUAAUAACCCUGACAGAGAUACCUCUCCCAGUAGAAAAAAAAACUAGUGUAGUGCUAAGGAUUGUCAGCUCAUUGAAACUUUAGGAGCAAAAUUUGCUCCAGGAGGCUGGGCAGUUACCCCAGGUGGGCAAAUAAUAGUCCCUGAACCAAUCUGGUGUGACCUGGUGGAUGGGGAACACGAGGGUAUUCCUUGGAGUGAAGCAAAUCAUUGAAACAUUUGCACAAGUGGAUUAUAAUAAGUCCAAAACUGACCCCAGUUGUACAAGCAGUGAGUCAGCAGUGUGGUGUGUGUAAGAGAAAUGAUCCAACCCCUGCCAAUGCAGUGGGAAUAGGGGAUGUAAAGUGUAGAAAUGUUCCAGGUGAAUGUUGGCAGAUGGAUUUGACUGAAUUGCCCAGAAAAGGGGGGUGUAAAGAUCUCCUAGUCUUGGGGGAUACCUUCUCUGGGUGGCCAGAGGCUUUUCCUUGUUGCACUAAGAAGGUUUGGAAAGAGACUGCAAUAUUGUUCAAUGCAAUCCUCCCUGUAUUUGGGAUGCCUUUGGGAAUGCCAUCAGACAGAGGUUCCCACUUAUUGCAGGAACAAAAUGCUUCACUCUUGUUUUGCUCUUCUGACAACAGUUCAAACACUGUUGACAUGGGAGGAAAAUUUACAUCUCUUUUUAGUGCCAAAUGUGAUCCAAAUGUUGUCUAAAAGUGUCUGUAUUAAGUAAGCAAGACUCUGUAAUGAACCUGUAAACUGUGUGUGUAAUGUAAAGCCCUGUCUGGCUGUCACUGAAGUGCUGAGGCUGAACAACAGCCCCUGAGCCAAAGCUGAGCUCUAGAUGAACCUUCCAACCUAAUGGGCUGUGUCUCCAUGUAUCUGCUCAUCAGCUAAAACUGGGUCUGUUUGUUGGUAAAAAUGUGCUGUGAUGGGACUCCACCUGUGUAUCUGCUCCUGAGCAAACAGGUGUGCUUAUUAGUCAGAUCUGUUAGUCUGGGCUCAUUAGUGAAUCCUGUUUGUACCUGUUCAUUAACAAAAUAUGUCUGAUUGUGAGCAAAAUGUGAUCUUUAUCUUUCUGUAUCUGGAGAGUGGUCGAGGCCAUGGCAGUCGAUGUCUGGCCUUGUUUGGCAGCAGAUGGGGCAGGGGGAGCCUUGGUUUGGGAGAAGUAGAACAUUGCUCCCAAUAUUCUGCUCUGGCCAAAUAAGGAACAAUAGAAUCUUAGAGAAGUCCUGGAGAAUUGGAUCAGGGCUGGAACUCAAGCAAACAGGAUGUGAGCUGAGCUCUGGGGACCCAGAGAAGAUCAAACCAAACAUGCUGGUCUCUGUGGGGAAAAGCAGUGAUGCUGAGAACCGAGGUCAAGAAGGGGACACCUGACUUUGGGGGGGCACCAGAUGCCAAAAAACCCACCAGAGACCCCCAGAGAAGACCCCAAAUGACCAAAUAGGUACUUGCAAUAGGGUUGUGACUGUGUAAAGCAAAGUAAUGGACAUGUGUUCAGUAAGGGAGAAUAUCCAAUGCCUCUGGAAUCAGUGUGUGUAAUCCCAAGCCCUGCCUGUGUCCCUGAGCAGGCUGGAUUAGAAGAACUCUCCUGCAGGCGUCCAGCACGCUGCCCUAAAGAAUGCCUGCUUCUUAACACCCCAACUGGGGUGAAGGGCUUGGGUUCUGCUGCUUGUGGGGAUCAUUUCUGGCCCCCAGGUGGGACCCUGUGCCUGAUCUCCCGUGGAUCCGAGGGAUCUCUGGAUCUUCACGCCGGCCCCAGGACUUUCCUGGAGAAGAGCACAGAUCCCCAUCCCAGUCUGGGAUGUGGGGAAGAUCCCAUUGGAUAAUAAGGCAUUCUUUUGGGGAAUCCUGCUCCUGUAAGAUGUGUGGAUCUUCCAGCACUUUGGGUGGGUUGUUUGGUAUUCCACAAUUUGGUCUCUGGCUUUGUUUUAUCCACUGAUCCUUGUUUUGUGUUUGUAUUUGUCUCUGUACUGUAACAUUUGCACAGGUGGGUUAGGGGUGCAAAACUGACCCAGUUGUACAAGCAGUGAGUCAGCAGUGUGGUGUGUGAGAGAAAUGAUCCAACUCUGCCAAUGCAGGGGGAAUAGGUGAUGUACAGUGUGGAAAUGUUCCAGGUGAAUGUUGGCAGAUGGAUUUGACUGAAUUGCCCAGAAAAGGGGGGUGUAAAGAUCUCCUAGUCUUGGGGGAUACCUUCUCUGGGUGGCCAGAGGUUUUCCUUUGUGACACCAACUGGGCUAGGGAAGUGAGUGGAAUACUGUUGAAUCCAAGAAUCCCUGGAUUCGAGGUACAUUUGGGAAUGUCAUCAGACAGAGGUUCCCACUUGAUUGUAGAAGUGGUACAAGAAGUCAAAUCAGGGAUGCAUUAUUCCAGAAUUCCAAAGGCCAGAGCCCCUUGGGUAAUUGAGAGGUUGUCUGAAGAAACAAAAUCCUUUAGUCCUGUUUUGCUCUCCUGACAAUAGUUAAUUGGGUCUUGACUUGGGAGCAAAAUUUACAUCUCCUUUUAGUCUCAAAUGUGACCCAAGUGUUGCCUCCAAGGGAUUGUUGGGUGUGCACUCAUUUACCUGAAAAGACAAGGAAGCCAUUCACCAUUUCUGCCUCCCCUAUUCUGGCAGAAAUGAUUCCUGGUCACUGGGUGGGCACUUGUGUUCCCCAAAAAGUAGACCCAGCAGUUAGUGUGCAAGUACCCCCCCAUCUCUGACAAUCCUGCCUGUGUCCAAAGCUGUGACCCCCACUAAAGGGACAGGAGAACUGGAUUGUGUUAAUGAAAGGGGCACGUUUGUGGGAAAUCACCCCCAAUGUCCUCAAACCCUUCCUGCUGGGGAAAUGACUGAUCCUUGGCCGGUCCCCAAUGGAACGGGGUGGUGUUGGUUGUGUGGAAAUAACACCUGUGAAGGGUUGCCCCAAAGCUGGAAGAGCAUUUGUAUUUCAGCUUGCAUCAUGACUCAGCUUAGUCUGAAGAAAAGGAGGGAUUUGAUGUGGGAUAUAGAACACUGCUCCCAACAUUUCUCUAUGGCCAAGGAAGGAAAACCAUAAUCUUGGAGAGGUCCUAGAGAAUUCGAUCGGGGAUGUAACUAAGCAAACAGGAUGGAAGCUGAGCUCUGUGCACCCAGAGAAGAUCAAACCCAAACGUUACAGUCUUUGUGGUGAAAGGUAAUGACACUGUGUCUGCUCAGAACCGAGGUCAAGAAGUGGACACCUCAACUUUGGGGGCACCACAUGCCAAAAAAACCCCACCAGAGAGCUCUGAAGAAGACCCCAGAGGACCAACUAAGGACUUGCAAUGGGGAGGUGACUGUGUAAAGCAAAGUAAUGUCUAUGUAUUAAGUAAGGGAGAAUAUCUAAGGAAUAUAGAAACUGUGUGUGUGGGAUAUAAAGCCCUGUCCGGCUGUCCCUGAAAGUGCUGAGGCUGAACAACAGCCCCUGAGCCAAAGCUGAGCUCUAGAUGAACCUUCCAACCUACUGGUCUCUUUAUCCAUGUAUUUGCUCCUUAGCUAAACCUGUGUAUGUUUGUUGGUCAAAGAUGUACUGUGUGCAAAGACUACCCGUGUAUCUGCCCAUGAACAAAAUAAAUGUGCUUAUUAGUGAGA